UACGAAGGGGGCUAGCGUUGCUCGGAAUCACUGGGCGUAAAGGGUGCGUAGGCGGAUCUUUAAGUCAGGGGUGAAAUCCUGGAGCUCAACUCCAGAACUGCCUUUGAUACUGAGGAUCUCGAGUUCGGGAGAGGUGAGUGGAACUGCGAGUGUAGAGGUGAAAUUCGUAGAUAUUCGCAAGAACACCAGUGGCGAAGGCGGCUCACUGGACACGUAUUGACGCUGAGGUGCGAAAGCGUGGGGAGCAAACAGG
rnacentral:rRNA from 1 species